rnacentral:rRNA from 1 species
CAGUCGCCGCGGGAAUACGAAGGGGGCUAGCGUUGUUCGGAAUUACUGGGCGUAAAGCGCACGUAGGCGGAUAUUUAAGUCAGGGGUGAAAUCCCAAGGCUCAACCUUGGAACUGCCUUUGAUACUGUUUGUCUUGAGUUCGAGAGAGGUAAGUGGAACUGCGAGUGUAGAGGUGAAAUUCGUAGAUAUUCGCAAGAACACCAGUGGCGAAGGCGGCUUACUGGCUCGAAACUGACGCUGAGGCGCGAAAGCGUGGGGAGCAAACAGGAUUAGAUACCCCAGUAGUCCCUGUCUCUUAUAC